UACGUAGGGUGCAAGCGUUAAUCGGAAUUACUGGGCGUAAAGCGUGCGCAGGCGGCUAUGCAAGACAGAUGUGAAAUCCCCAAGCUUAACUUGGGAACUGCAUUCGGGACUGCAAGGCUUGAGUGCGGCAGAGGAGACUGGAAUUCCUGGUGUCGCAGUGAAAUGCGUAGAUAUCAGGAGGAAUACCGAUGGCGAAGGCAGGUCUCUGGGCUGACACUGACGCUCAUGCACGAAAGCGUGGGGAGCAAACAGG
rnacentral:rRNA from 1 species